rnacentral:lncRNA from 1 species
GGCUGAGGAAGAUAGGGUUGCAGAUUUGGGGGGUGUGGGUCUGGAGAGGAAGAAUGGGCGCGGGGGAGUCGGGAGUGGGGGAGAUGGAGAGAUAAAGAAAUUUUUUUUGGCGGUAUUUUUUUGGACGAAAAAUGUUUGCCGCGCUCCCGAUUGCGGUAUCCUGGGGGGAUCUGAUAUGUUCAAUUAAAAUUUUGCUGCACUAAUGUCAAAAACACUACGAUGGUGAAAUGGUAAGGCCCUCUGAGUUUCAUUAUGUGGUCUUGGGUUCGAAUGCUAAGUUGGC